GACGAACGCUGGCGGCGUGCUUAACACAUGCAAGUCGAACGAGAAUCUGUGGAUCGAGGAUUCGUCCAAGUGAAGCAGAGGACAGUGGCGGACGGGUGAGUAACGCGUGAGGAACCUGCCUUUCAGAGGGGGGACAACAGUUGGAAACGAUUGCUAAUACCGCAUAAGCCCACGGCUCGGCAUCGAGCAGAGGGAAAAGGAGUGAUCCGCUUUGAGAUGGCCUCGCGUCCGAUUAGCUAGUUGGUGAGGUAAUGGCCCACCAAGGCGACGAUCGGUAGCCGGACUGAGAGGUUGAACGGCCACAUUGGGACUGAGACACGGCCCAGACUCCUACGGGAGGCAGCAGUGGGGAAUAUUGCACAAUGGGCGAAAGCCUGAUGCAGCGACGCCGCGUGAGUGAAGAAGUAUUUCGGUAUGUAAAGCUCUAUCAGCAGGGAAGAAAUGACGGUACCUGACUAAGAAGCCCCGGCUAACUACGUGCCAG
rnacentral:rRNA from 1 species